rnacentral:rRNA from 1 species
UACAGAGGGUGCGAGCGUUAAUCGGAAUUACUGGGCGUAAAGCGCGCGUAGGCGGCUUUGCAAGUCGGGUGUGAAAUCCCCAGGCUUAACCUGGGAACUGCAUUCGAGACUGCAUUGCUAGAGUAUGGGAGAGGGAAGUGGAAUUUCCGGUGUAGCGGUGAAAUGCGUAGAUAUCUGGAGGAAUACCGGUGGCGAAGGCGGCAUCCUGGACCGGCAUUGACGCUGAGGAGCGAAAGCUAGGGGAGCAAACGGG